GACGAACGCUGGCGGCGUGCCUAAUACAUGCAAGUUGAGCGCUGAAGGUUGGUACUUGUACCAACUGGAUGAGCAGCGAACGGGUGAGUAACGCGUGGGGAAUCUGCCUUUGAGCGGGGGACAACAUUUGGAAACGAAUGCUAAUACCGCAUAAAAACUUUAAACACAAGUUUUAAGUUUGAAAGAUGCAAUUGCAUCACUCAAAGAUGAUCCCGCGUUGUAUUAGCUAGUUGGUGAGGUAAAGGCUCACCAAGGCGAUGAUACAUAGCCGACCUGAGAGGGUGAGCGGCCACAUUGGGACUGAGACACGGCCCAAACUCCUACGGGAGGCAGCAGGAGGGAAUCUUCGGCAAUGGACGAAAGUCUGACCGAGCAACGCCGCGUGAGUGAAGAAGGUUGUCGGAUCGUAAAACUCGGUUGGUAGAGAAGAACGUUGGUGAGAGUGGAAAGCUCAUCAAGUGACGGUAACUACUCAGAAAGGGACGGCUAACUACGUG
rnacentral:rRNA from 1 species